UACAGAGGGUGCAAGCGUUAAUCGGAAUUACUGGGCGUAAAGCGUGCGUAGACGGUAGCGUAAGUCGGGUGUGAAAGCCCCGGGCUCAACCUGGGAAUUGCAUUCGAGACUGCUCUGCUAGGGUGCGGAAGAGGGGAGCGGAAUUUCCGGUGUAGCGGUGAAAUGCGUAGAUAUCGGAAGGAACACCAGUGGCGAAAGCGGCUCCCUGGUCCAGCACUGACGAUCAGGCUCGAAAGCGUGGGGAGCAAACAGG
rnacentral:rRNA from 1 species